AGUAACACGUAGGUGACCUACCCCAAAGAGGGGGAUAACGGCCCGAAAGGGGCUGCUAAUACCCCAUGUGAUUAGCGAUUCAUUUCGUUAAUGAAAGCUUCCGCAAGGAGUGUGCUUUGGGAGGGGCCUGCGGCGGAUUAGAUUGUUGGUGGGGUAAUGGCCUACCAAGUCGAUGAUCCGUAGCUAGUCUGAGAGGACGAUUAGCCACACUGGCACUGACACACGGGCCAG
rnacentral:rRNA from 1 species